GCCUGGCUGGCUCAGUUGGUGGAGUGUGGGACUCUAGAUCUCAGGGUUGCGAGUUCAAGCCCCACAUCGGGUG
rnacentral:tRNA from 1 species